rnacentral:rRNA from 1 species
UACAGAGGAUGCAAGCGUUAUCCGGAAUGAUUGGGCGUAAAGCGUCUGUAGGUGGCUUUUUAAGUCCGCCGUCAAAUCCCAGGGCUCAACUCUGGACAGGCGGUGGAAACUACCACGCUUGAGUACGGUAGGGGCAGAGGGAAUUUCCGGUGGAGCGGUGAAAUGCGUAGAGAUCGGAAAGAACACCAACGGCGAAAGCACUCUGCUGGGCCGACACUGACACUGAGACACGAAAGCCAGGGGAGCAAACGGG